rnacentral:rRNA from 1 species
CCUUGCUUAGCCACACCCCCAAGGGAACCCAGCAGUGAUAAACAUUAAGCCAUAAGCGAAAGCUCGACUUAGUUAAAGCCAAGAGAGCCGGUAAAACUCGUGCCAGCCACCGCGGUUAUACGAGAGGCUCAAAUUGAUGCUCGUCGGCGUAAAGAGUGAUUACAGGAAUAUAAACAACUAAAGCCGAAUACCCCUCAGGCUGUUAUACGCAUCUGGGGAAAUGAAGCCCCAAAACGAAGGUAGCUUUAAUAUAUUAUACCUCUAAUUCACGACAACUGAGACACAAACUGGGAUUAGAUACCCCACUAUGCUCAGCCUUAAACCUUGAUGAUAAAGUACAGAUAUCAUCCGCCAGGGGACUACAAGCGCCAGCUUAAAACCCAAAGGACUUGGCGGUGCCUCAGACCCACCUAGAGGAGCCUGUUCUAUAACCGAUAAUCCCCGUUAGACCUCACCACCCCUUGUCAACCCCGCCUAUAUACCGCCGUCGCCAGCUUACCUUAUGAGGGACUAAUAGUAAGCCUAAUGGGUAAAUCCCAAAACGUCAGGUCGAGGUGUAGCGAAUGGGGUGGGAAGAAAUGGGCUACAUUUUCUGACCCACAGAAUAUCACGAAUAUUGCUCUGAAAUAAAGCACCCUGAAGGUGGAUUUAGCAGUAAAAAGAAAACAGAGUGUUCUUUUGAAACUGGCUCUGAGGCGCGCACACACCGCCCGUCA